GCGUACAAUUAGCGAAUCAUUGGUUUAAGGUAAUCUGAGUACAUGCUAUAGUUUAUGAUAAAAGAUGAACUCUUGAUUCAGUGGCAGUCAACGGCAACCAUAAUUAGCACGCGUUGUAUUUGCAGCGAUGCUUAAUUACUCAUAGUUCGACAUGUUGAUUUGGAUUAUCGAUUAUGCGUAAUUGAAUAUAUGCAGAUAUUAUGCAUACUUGAAUCUAUAAUAGAUGUUCAUUCUACACGAUGCGACACACGCAUGAAAACCGUUAUAGUACGUAUAAAACAAAUAAGUGUUUACGGAGUUUCUACUUUUUGCCGUUACUGUCCGGUCGACAAAAAUUGUAGGACCGGUUUUAUGUUGACGCCCUCGCAGAAGUAGGGUAAACGCUUCCCUUAUUGACAGAAAUGAUCCUUUUCUAUUGGCCCGAAAUUAUUAAUAUUAAAUUUUCAUAAAACGGGUAUGGCCAAAUAAAAACAAACAACGCCUCCUUACACCCAUCACAUCUCGCUACCCCUUAGUCGCCAUUUUCUGCUAGGAACACAUCAGAAGCGUAUUAUGUCUCCUGAGCUAACCGUGGGUGUAUCUGUGUGUGUGUAUUAUUUAUGCGAUCACGGACGAGCGAGACUCGCGACAGGAGACAGGAGGCGUAGAACAAUCGAAACAAAGUGAAACAGACGUAACAAUUGCAAGAUGCAAGAGCAUCGACUUAUCCCUCCUAAAGCAUUAUCUUCAGAUUCUUCUGAUGUACACAUGAUCAUUUGUAAUUACUAAUUACUAAUAGGCAUCUUGAUUAA